AGAUUGAACGCUGGCGGCAUGCCUUACACAUGCAAGUCGAACGGUAGAGUAGCAAUACUUGAGAGUGGCGAACGGGUGAGUAAUAUAUCGGAACGUGCCCAGUCGUGGGGGAUAACGUAGAGAAAUUUACGCUAAUACCGCAUACGAUCUAAGGAUGAAAGCGGGGGACCGUAAGGCCUCGCGCGAUUGGAGCGGCUGAUAUCAGAUUAGGUUGUUGGUGAGGUAAAAGCUCACCAAGCCGACGAUCUGUAGCUGGUUUGAGAGAACGACCAGCCACACUGGACUGAGACACGGCCAGACUCCUACGGGAGCAGCAGUGGGAAUUUGGACAAUGGGCGAAAGCCUGAUCCAAGCAAU
rnacentral:rRNA from 1 species